UUUUAACGGGAAGAACCUUACCUGGUCUUGACAUCCUCGGAACCCUGCAGAGAUGCGGGGGUUCCUUCGGGAGCCGAGAGACAGGUGGCACAUGGCUGUUCUCAGCUUGUGUUGUGAGAUUUUGGUUUAUGUCCCGCAACGAGCGCACCCCUUGUCCUUAGUUCCCAUCAUUUAGUUGGGAACUCUAGGGAGACCGCCGGUGACAAACCGGAGGAAGGUGGGGAUGACGUCAAGUCAUCAUGGCCCUUAUGUCCAGGGCUUCACACGUGCUACAAUGGCCGGUACAAAGGGCUGCCAACCCGCGAGGGGGAGCCAAUCCCAAAAAGCCGGUUGUAGUUCGGAUCGGAGUUUGCAACUUGGCUCCCUGAAGUCGGAAACCGGUUAAUCGCACAUC
rnacentral:rRNA from 1 species